GUCUCUGCUGAGUUCAGGUGAGUCUUGGUCUCUGCCGAGUUCAGGUGUUGCGCUCUUGCUCGUGAAGUUUCCGUGAUGUUGCCCAAGAACCAACUAUACAGAAAAUUUAGGAGAGAAAUUUCGACAUUUAAAUAAAUAAUAAUAGAAAACAUAAUUAAUGAAUUGGGAUUCAGUGAAUAUUUAUUCUCCUUAUUUAACUGUUUAAUGUUAUUUAAGAUGCAUUUUUAAUCUAAUAAUCCAACUAUACAGAAAAUUCGACAUUUAAAUAAAUAAUAAUAAAAAACAUAAUUAAUAAAUUGGGAUUCAGUGAAUACUCAUUCUCCUUAUUUCACUGUUUAAUGUUAUUUAAGAUGAUUUUUUAAUCUUGUUGAUGAUCUAACUAAACACAAAAUACUGCUUUUAGAAUACAUGUCAUAUUUAAAUAGCUCAUUAAGAAUUGUGGCACAUAAACUGCAAAAUAAUCAUUUCACAGAAUACAAAUUAAUAUGUAAAAUGUUGCAUAAUAAUAAUAAUACAUGUAAGUAAAGACAAGUACUUUUCACCUGCAAUUUUUUCUCCAGUCUAGUUCUUUUACUCACCAAACAAAAAGCUCCUUCCAGAAGUAUCCAAACAAAGCACCGCCUGGGGAACAUCUCUACAGGGUGAUUAUUCAGAUCCACCACGUUCACCUGAGCUUCAAUCAGGCCGAGUACCUCUCUACCCAAUAUCUGGACUGCCAGCUCUCGAUCAGAUGAUGGAAAUUCUCCACGGAUUGACCUGCAGCGACCUUUUGUCUAUUUUGGAAGGACGCAUGAUCACAAUUAUGUAUCUUGAAUUAACUUGUAAUUUCUUUUCAUAGACUAUUAACAUCUAAUUCAAUUAGCCACCACUGAUUACAGACUACUUCCAAUACAAGGUAAUUUAAUUAAGCUAAAUGAGAAAUUACAUGUAUUAACAUCUACAAAAGAAAAUAUAUGAAUUGCAGCUGUUGACAAGAACUUCUUGACAUCUACUUGAUGUAUUUAUUUAUUUCCAGGUCAACCACAAUGGACACAAUGUCCUAUAAAUUGCUCGUGUUGAGAGUUCCUCACUGAGAACUCUUGUCUCUAGAGUUUUAGGAGUUUUUCUUUACAACAUUAGAGGGCAGCACAAGCUCAAAUACACACUUGGCUCUUUUUUUCAUGGAACUCAUAUCUGCUUCUCACGUUUUGUUAUUUAGCAUAAAGUUUAUCACCUGUAACCUCUGGGCUUUUACAGUGAUUAUCAUGACCACAUUUACAUAUUUUAUGACUGACAAUCCUUAAUAAUAAAUAUUCAGAUGAAUAAUUAAUUCAUUCAUUUGAGAAAUAAUAAUCCUAUUUUAUCCAGUUUUAAAUAAAGUUUGAACUUUCUACA